rnacentral:tRNA from 1 species
GGUGAGGUGCGAGAGUGGUUGAAUCGGGCGGUCUCGAAAACCGUUGAGCCCUUGCGGGCUCCGUGGGUUCGAAUCCCACCCUCACCGCCA